AGAGCCUGAAAGAUAAUCGCUUGGGGAACCAAGAGGAAAGUCCGGGCAACAUAGGGAAUGGUAGUCGCUAACGGCGACCGUCCGUGAGGAUAGGGAAAGUACCACAGAAACAAUACCGCCCCUUUCGGGGUAAGGGUGAAAAGAGUGAGGUAAGAGCUCACAGCGUGUUGUAGCGAUACGAUACGGAGGCAAACCCUACCUGUUGCAAGGAGUACUAUCAACCUCGACCCGAGGAUGUACGCUCACCGCUCGAGUGCUAUAGCAAUGUAGCGCCUAGAUAGAUGAUUAUCGAUCUUAGUAAUAAGAUUACAGAACCCGGCUUACUGACGGCUCAAUAU
rnacentral:RNase_P_RNA from 1 species